rnacentral:misc_RNA from 1 species
GGAAGAAGCCAGGCAGCCCCUAUCCCCUGCCAAUGCUGCACCGCACCUGGCGGUGGCAGGGUCAGGCGCCUACGACGUGGGGGAGGUCAGAGCGAUGCAUCGCUGCUGACGUGGGCGGCCAGGUCGUGGAUGGCGCUGCGUCGGAGCGACCCGCGACCGUGCACCGGGCUGCGCCAUCCAUGCUAUAUGGGCGGAGUGUCAGCGCGACUCGACCGCGACCCGCCCGGCCCUCACUGCCUCCUGGUGUGCGGCGCCUGCGCCACGCCGAGGGAUGCGCCGGGUGGCGGCCGGCAUAGUGGGGGCAGCUGUGGGGCUGCGUGCGCAGAAGAGGCUGGCAGAGGCUGAGGCAGGGCCCGUGCUGAGAUGGCUGCGCCGGCGCACGGCUGUGAUGCGCGUGUCUCUAGCGCUGCUUCGCACCACGCGAUGGGGGCCUGCGACGGGCCGGGGCUAGCGUGCCCCUUCCGCCCAUGCUGUGGAGGCGAAACGGACAUGUCGGAGCGAAAACAUACCUGUUUGUGCACUUAGAAAAACUGGACGGGACACGAAGGUUAGUGGUGAAGACUGAUAUGGGAGGUAGUUUGUCGGCUUUUGGUUCCACUUGUGGGCGGGGGGAUGGAUGAAGAGGUAGAGGUAUCAGAUGCCGUUGGUGAUCAUUGCUCAGAAAGGAUGGGAGAGUGCAGGCUUUCCUAGUGUGUGAAGUCAGGAGAUAGUGGAAGGAUGCCUCUUAUAUUGAAGUUUCUAAGUCUGUGGUAGUGUGUGUAAACUGAUAGAUAUCAUCACUAUGGAGGAGGUUGUCGACAGGUGAUGUUCUGUGUUUCUCUGGCGAUAUGACUGAUCCCCUUUGCCGAACUUUGCUCAACGGAGAAUACGUGUUUCAAGCAGUGAUUUCCGCUCUGGAAGCACCUGGUAUCUCGGUGUCAUGGAAGUACAGUAGGGAAUCGGUCUAUCGUACUUUUUCGCGGUUUCUGAGCAGGAUUUAUUAGGAGUCAGACCCACAGCAACUGGAGUGUACUUUUUGUUGUCCGUGAUUAAACAAUCGGCGCUUUUCUUUGCAGUGGAAAGUGCUCAUCUUUGCAUCAAACUCCCUAUUCGUGCCGAUCUUUACUUUUUAGAGUUCGAGAAGCAGCAACGAUCGGAGCAAUCCCUGAAAGCAAAAAUAGGAACGUGGAGACAGUGCUGGGUACCUUCAGCCACCGCCCAGACGAGCAGCACGAAUUCGUAAGCAUCCGGUUUCCCGCGACUCGGCGACACUGUACAGGACUCUGGAUAACGUGCUGAUCGUGCGGGCGGUCUUCGUGUACUCUGCACACGGAAGUGCCACCGUGGUAAAUCUGCAAAGUGAUUCGACAGCGCUGAUCGGCGGUGCCGGCGCGGGCGCCGCCAUUCGGUCGCCUGGAAUAGCUGCAGUCGCGGACGCUUUUCUUUUGGUUGUGGAGUGGGGUAAUGGUAUAUUGGUGGCAGACACCGCGUAUCUUCCGACUCAGAGCCUCUAUGACAGCUUCCUCAGCGACACGGGAAUCAAUACACGCUACUACGAACCACUAAGCACAUCAAGAUAGCUACGUCUGCUACCUUUGAAGUCCCUGAAGACCGCUGCAACUUUUCCGGAGUCUCAUGGUUGAAGACAUUCGAGAUCCAAGAUAUGCCUGGGCUUACUGCAGCUGCACAGGAGCGCAGCGUCAUCUUCAUUGUGGACAGCAUCUGGCCACUUCCCCCUUUUUCGACGUGCACGCUGCGGGGUGCGGCGUUUCUGUCGAGGCCGGAGCAAGGCACCUCAAGGGUCCUUCAGGUUUGGGUCUUGGUAUGUUGUAGGUAAAUGAGAAGUGACUUCACGCCGUGAAAUCGUGCCUGCUCGUCAUUCAGGACACUUCGGGCAAUAAGGACUGCUUUCCGAGUCUGCGUGGGUUGAGGACCAUGCACGUGCGUUUGAAGGGGCCUGAGAAGCGAGCGUUCCAUGUGCUUCACUACCUUGGAAAACGCGAAGAAGCCUUGCGGGUUCUUCAGCCUUUCCGAGCUCUCUUGGACACCAGAUUUGGAAGCGCGACUUCACCUGUUCCCCUGGACUCUUUUCUGUUCUUAUCUCCACUUACGAUUCAAAAAAUGCGGGGCGCAUGCUGGACGGGCUCAAG